rnacentral:lncRNA from 1 species
UGAGUGACUCAUGCAGUUUAUACCUUAUUAACUAUAUUCUCACUUGCACAUCUUCAUUCGUCAAAGUUUAACCUAUCAGGUUAAAAAAAAAAAAAAGAAAAAAAUAAAGAAGAAUCAAAAGAGGCUGCCAGAGAAAGAAAAUAAAAUAUGGGAAGGUGGAACGGAGAGACAUGGUAGCGUGAGACACGGGGGUGAUAGAAGAAGGGGAAUAAGAAUAAAAUAGGGAAAAGGAUUGGGAGCUGCUGGGGCAGCUAAGAAAAAGGAAAUUAAAAAAUAAAAAAAAAAACAGUGAAAAGAAUCCAAGGCAGCGUGUGAGAGAGUGAAAGAAAUAGAGGGGAAAGCAAGAAGCACGCGGGGACAGAUUGGAAAAGCUGCCUUUGGCAGCUGGCGUGGAUGACAGGAAAUGGAAAAAUAAAAAGAGGGAAAGGGAGACAUGUUAAGGGGAAUUGGUGGAAGGGAGCUGCCCUUUGGGCAGCUCGCAGAGAGACAGGAUAGAAAAGAAUCAGGAGGAGAGCGGCCUUUGGCAGCUAGGGAAAAAACGCUGCCCUUUGGCAGCGAGCUCAGAGAGAAGAAGCCAAGUCCACGGAACGCAGGGGGGUGACGUGAGGGGCAGAGCACAAAGCAGAGGCUUCACUCCAUUCUUCUUGGUUUUAUCUCACUAAACUUUUAUUUUAUUUCUGUUUUAAUAAUGUGUGUAAUUAAUUUUAUUUUGGCUAGAGGUUAAUUCAAAGCCAUGAUUUAUAUUUGUAAUAUGAAUUGAUUACCUUCGGUUGUGAUUUCAUAAGUUGUGAUUUCAAUUUACUUAUCCGUUCGUAUAAAAACUGAUUUGUGUAUGUUGGUUGAGAGUGCACGCUUAAUUUACAUGCAUGAAUUUGAUGCUAGAAUAUAAGUGAAUUUCACCUAAUCGUUAUGA